AUUGAACGCUGGCGGCAGGCCUAACACAUGCAAGUCGAACGAGUGGCGGAAGGGUGAGUAAUGUCUGGGAAACUGCCUGAUGGAGGGGGAUAACUACUGGAAACGGUAGCUAAUACCGCAUACCAUCAGAUGUGCCCAGAUGGGAUUAGCUAGUUGGUGGGGUAACGGGUCACCAAGGCGACGAUCCCUAGCUGGUCUGAGAGGAUGACCAGCCACCUUGGAACUGAGCAACGGCCCCGACUCCUACGGGAGGCAGCAUUGGGGAAUAUUGCACAAUGGGCGAAAGCCUGAUGCAGCCACGCCGCGUGUAUGAUGAAGUCCUUCGGGUUGUAAAGUACUUUCAGCGGGGAGGCGUUACCCGCAGAAGAAGCACCGGCUAACUCCGUGCCAGCAGCCGCGGUAAUAC
rnacentral:rRNA from 1 species